rnacentral:piRNA from 1 species
CAACAGACUGGCCAUUCUAUACACAAA